rnacentral:piRNA from 1 species
GUUUCUAGGAUUCCCGUAGACCUAGC